UACAGAGGUCUCAAGCGUUGUUCGGAUUCAUUGGGCGUAAAGGGUGCGUAGGCGGCGCGGUAAGUCGGGUGUGAAAUCUUGGAGCUUAACUCCGAAACUGCAUUCGAUACUGCCGUGCUUGAGGACUGGAGAGGAGACUGGAAUUUACGGUGUAGCGGUGAAAUGCGUAGAUAUCGUAAGGAAGACCAGUGGCGAAGGCGGCUUUCUGGUCUGUAACUGACGCUGAGGCGCGAAAGCGUGGGGAGCAAACAGG
rnacentral:rRNA from 1 species